UGUGAAGAUCAACAACACAAUGUUUGUGGCGGUCAUCCAUCAAGUCGCAAGAGAGGCCUGCUUUGGAUUCACUGCUGUUUAGAAGUCUAAGUGCCACCCUCCUGUCACUGGUGUAGAUGUCUACUACAGGAAGAUACAAGACUCAAAAUUUGCCAAACUGACCAUCCGUGGCAAGUUCUGUAACAGACAUUGAAUUCUAUAAAGUCAAACAAUUUUCUUG